rnacentral:rRNA from 1 species
GAUGAACGCUGGCGGCGUGCCUAAUACAUGCAAGUCGAGCGAACAGACGAGGAGCUUGCUCCUCUGACGUUAGCGGCGGACGGGUGAGUAACACGUGGAUAACCUACCUAUAAGACUGGGAUAACUUCGGGAAACCGGAGCUAAUACCGGAUAAUAUAUUGAACCGCAUGGUUCAAUAGUGAAAGACGGUUUUGCUGUCACUUAUAGAUGGAUCCGCGCCGCAUUAGCUAGUUGGUAAGGUAACGGCUUACCAAGGCAACGAUGCGUAGCCGACCUGCGAGGGUGAUCGGCCACACUGGAACUGAGACACGGUCCAGACUCCUACGGGAGGCAGCAGUAGGGAAUCUUCCGCAAUGGGCGAAAGCCUGACGCAGCAACGCCGCGUGAGUGAUGAAGGUCUUCGGAUCGUAAAACUCUGUUAUUAGGGAAGAACAAAUGUGUAAGUAACUAUGCACGUCUUGACGGUACCUAAUCAGAAAGCCACGGCUAACUACGUG